UCGGUACGCCGCCCCUCCUCUCGAUCCAUCCCCUCUGGGUGCGUUUUCUCUUUCCCUCGUCUCCCACUCCGCCGCCGCCGCCGCAUCUCCCACUCCGCCGCUGCCCGUACUGCUCCACCGGACGAGCCUCUUCUUCGAGCGCGGCGGCAGGAGCAGCUCCACCUCUCCACUCCCCCACGCGAGAACGCUCCUAACCCCACCAACAUGCCCGGCCGCCACUAGGGUUUCUUACCCUCACUGCCCCGCCGCCACCUCUCCUCACUUUUCCCCACCGCCGUCUGGAGCUACUUCAUCGACAGCGUCAAUGGGGGCUUUCGCGAGACCUCCUGGCCUUCUGCCACCGCCGCCAAGUUCGUCCCCCAGGCUGACAUACUGCGAUCGGGACGCCGUCGGAUCCUCUGUCGCGGGCCCACGUCCCAGUCCUCUCCUUCCUCUCACAGUUCAUUUGUGCUGCAGGCACUUCACGGAUGAGAUUUUCUCAUGCUGUUCUCACCUCCUCACGUCGUGCAGCCUCCACACGCGAAGCCACCGAGGCAGGAAUCGGAAGUGCCAGUCUGUGCAUCGUGUUCUCACGCCAACCCCAAGCUUCGUUAAUGUCCAGAUGCAAGUUGAUGAAUGACUGUUCAUUUUACUUGAGAAGAACUAAUUCACAUGUUCAAGAACAACUGCAGGAGUAUAAUUUCAUAAGCCUUUGUACUGAAUGCAACAUCCACGUGAUGAAUUAUAGUUUAUUUGGAUGUGGAUGAGUUGGAUAUGCCAUUCCUCAAUGUGUACCUGGAUUAUCUUUGGGCACCUAAUUUUUGGAAAGGAGUACUCUGAAGUGAAUUCAUGCUAUGUUAACAGUCUAACAAACAUCUUGGAGGUGUGAAUGCUUUCUUGGGUCUGACAAGUAAUCAAUAAUUGAUGGUAUACUGGGAUUUUUCUCAUACUUCUAGCACUUCCUCAUUGACAAUAAAGCAAGUACUAUCACAACAAAGGCUGUUACCUCCAGUUGUAUACCCCAAGAAAUGGUCUGCUUUCAUGGGGCUUAUUGAAUCCAGGAAAUAACUGUGAGUAGUAGCGAACCAGACAUGAAAAGUUUCAGAGAACUACGAAAACUCUGGUCAGUUUUGUCGGGAUCUUGUGACACAGUUCCAGGACUCUAUUGACUAAGCCUCUUUCAGUUAGUACAAUGAUCAAGGAUCUCAUUUGAGUAUGGGUUUGCACAUCUGAGUGCUGGUGAUCUUCUUCGUGAAGAAGUUAAAGUGAUAUGGAGCAGAUUAAAAUUGACCAUGAGUUCGUACUAUUAAUUGAAGGCUCAAGGGAAGAGACAGCGGCAUAUUCUUCGUUGAAAUCAGGAAUGAAUUCCACUCGUUAUGCAAUACCACUAUGAGAAAAGUAGGGAAAUGCUGGACCUCUGCAAAAUGUGCUCGUUCACCUCGCGGUCUCACCCCCAAAACAGAGGAGAGGAGCAGGGAGCUCCUCUCUCACACUCGUCGGCUCCAAGGAGCUCCGCCGCCACAUAGGGCAAACCAAGGCUGCAAUGUUUGAAUAUUAUACUCAGUCAGUUGCUCGACUACUUACAGUCCUAUUACUUGAGACUUAAUACUCGGUCAGCUGCCGUGUACAUUGUUCUGACAUAAAUGACACCAUGUCUAUGCGCAAGUCUGAAGAAACUUACCAUCUAAUAUGUCUAAUUAGUGUGGUACAUGCUUCAGUACUGCAAGUUGGAGUAGCAAGUUAAACCCGCAUGCCUACCUGCACAUUGAUACUCAUACCUGGCUGUGAUAGAAGUUUCAUCUUGAGAUUCAAUUCUUUGAUUUAUGAUGCCCAUUCAUAUGCACAAUGAGAACAUAUAUCCUUCUUACUAAUCUCUGUUUUUUUAAGUUGAAACUAUUUCUUUGUUACUUCAUGUAUGUGAAGUGCAAUCAUAGUCUGUCACAAACUUGUUUGAGGAUGGCAAAAGACUGACCUUUUGCGGGGCAGAGAAAAGACCGGCUUAUUUUAUUUUAACACAACAUAGCAAGCUCCAUAUAUUUCAGUUAGUACAUGGCAGGAUGCAGACUAUGUGCAGUAUUAGUGGUGUAUGGUUAGACUCCAAAAUUGCAGUAUUAGUGGUGUUUUAAAGAGAAAGGUUCGUAAAUGAUGUUGUUUUCUACUAAGAAAUUUCAGUAGUCGGUGUAACCAUUGAGUGCCAAUGUGAUGGGCAUUUAAGAUUUAGAUUCAGAACUGUGGGGUUCAGCACAGAUGGCUUCACUUCAAUAUUUUUCCCCAUGUGGUUGCUGGAUGCAUACAUAUCUAUGUACGCUGGUACAUAUCCAUCCAUUCAACUUCAGUUUUGAUGCAUCUUGUAUAAUGAAUCCUACAUUAUGUGGAGAAAUUUAGACAUAUAAGAGUAUCUGUAAGCCAACCACAUACCACACAUUUUAAAGGCUUAUUUUCUCUACAUCUAUACUAGCUUGAACCAAGUAUUUCUAUUUUCUUUUUAUUUGUUGCCAAAAUUGAAGGAAUGUCGAUAUGGUGUAUUUUUACAACAAUCAGCGUGUUGACUUGGAGCUUGUCCAUUUGCGACGCACUUCUUAUUCUUGGAUUAAGCCUAAUGCUUGCUCUACCAAUCAUGUAGUACUGUUGUGAACUCAUAGGUGAAACCAUUCUCUAUCCAAUACAGAGUUAGCAUAGCUGAGCAUGAUUAGGAGGGAAGGAUUAUUUGGAUUGCUUUACGUAGACUGGCAUGGCUGAUCUUCCCUUCCAUUAUUAUUGCUACUUUAUGUUUUAAUUCCAUUGUUCUUCACUUGAUCUUGGGAUCUAUGUUCCAGUGACUUCCUGAACUUUUACUUGCUGAUGAGAAGUUUCUAUUUUAUUUUUUCUUUCACUUGAUCUUUAGGUUUACAGGGUUAAUGGAUCCAUGUUUCAGCGACUUUGUAGAAGUGUGUUUACUUAUCUUGCUUUUGUUGCUACCGCUGGUGAAGACAAACUCCAGAAAAGGGAGUGAAAUAAGAAAGACGAGAGGUUGCACAAGAUGAGUAAUGCUGGGUAGCGGUAGAGGCUGAAACUGUGAUGAUGAUGCGUAUCUGACCAUUAGUAUGUUUCCCAUCAAGGAAACCUACAAUUUCUAUUAUGAUACAGAGUUUCUAUUAUGAGGUGUAUUUCUCAUAAAGAAUGUGAAUUCUGCAUGAUAGUGUUUUGGAAACGUGAAGGUUUUAUGCAAAGACUGACAUUUAAGAAAGGAUGUAUUAAAAUGUAAACCCUGGUAGAUACUCCUAAAGUCGAAGUUGAUCAGGCAAUAGUAAUUUUUUUUUCGAGCACUGAACUACCGUUUCGGGUUUUGCUUAAUAUUGUUAUUCCUCAUAGGAUGUUCAAGAGGAACACCAUUCAGAAUUUCCUCAUAGGGUUUUGCUUAACUUAGAUUAGGAUGGGGUUCCUUUGACCUUAUGGUUAUGUAUAUAACAAGGACCUAUUACGUAUCCUUUUUCCACUCAGAAAUCUUUGAAUUAAAAGUGUGUUGCAAGUCAAAUGCACCACUGAUAUACAGUAGACACAAUUCGUGUUAAACUAUUGAAAUGUUUAUGACCCUUUCCAAUGCACGGACAGUUAACUAAUCCGAUACGCCAUCAUCUCUUGAGGUAGUGAUAAUCAUCUCAUUUUUUCAAUCAGAUGUACAAUACGCCAUCAUCUCUCGGAGUAUGCGGGGAAGUUUAGAAAAGAUGCAGCAAUGGUGUGGUCAGAGAUAAUAAAAAUUGAUGGCUUCGGAUGAUGCUUUGAAAAUUUCGAUUGACAAAGUCGCAGAUGUAACUAUGAGCGAUUGGACUCAAAAGUCAUCCAAUUUUACACAAUGAGAUGCAUACAAAUAAUUAUUCUUUCCUUGUA